rnacentral:ncRNA from 16 species
CUAGGGUGAGCGGGCCGUGGUGUUCGGGAAGACCGGUGACAGCCCCUCAGGGGCUCAGUCCGGAGCGGCCCUCGCCACUGUGAUCGGGGAGCUCCCACCCCAUGCGUUGCCACUGGCCUCACGGCCGGGAAGGCAGGGGCGGGCGCGGUGACCCGUCAGCCAGGAGACCGGCCACGGCAGCACGAAGCUGA